UACGGAGGAUCCGAGCGUUAUCCGGAUUUAUUGGGUUUAAAGGGUGCGUAGGCGGUUUGAUAAGUUAGAGGUGAAAUGUCGGGGCUCAACCCCGAAACUGCCUCUAAUACUGUUGGACUAGAGAAUAGUUGCGGUAGGCGGAAUGUAUGGUGUAGCGGUGAAAUGCUUAGAGAUCAUACAGAACACCGAUUGCGAAGGCAGCUUACCAAACUAUAUCUGACGUUGAGGCACGAAAGCGUGGGUAGCAGACAGG
rnacentral:rRNA from 1 species